CAGAGAGAGAGAGACGGGAAGACAGAGAGAGAGAGAGAGAGACGGGGAGAGGUGAGCGACGUGCAGAGACGCCGGGAGGAGAGACAUGUGGAGAGACGGUCGAUAGGGGAGAGAGGCAGGGAUGUAGGGAGACACGGGGAGAGAAGAGGUGUGAUAGACGCGGGGGAUCUAUGCAGAGACGUGGAGAGAGGAGAAGCCCUGGAAGAGACGGCGAGGCGCGUGACUCCCACGCCCAGCAGAGGUUUGACACCAGGGACCCCAGCGCGUACGUUGAACUUCUUUGGCGCCGUACGUAGGCAACCGUCCCGAUCGGAGGUGCGAAAUCGGUGAUCGGCGUCCCCAGCAGGAGGUCACCCCAAACUCGACGUCGAUAGAGCGAUCGAGCGAUCCACCUCCACCCCCCGUGGUGGUCACGGUUGUGGGUUGCCAUGGAAGUGGACAUCCCAGGCCGCAGCUGCAGCAACAGCAGCAGCGAGGGCCCCUCGCUCAUGGGGCUCUGCGACGAGCUGCUGCUGCACGUGCUCAGCUUCGUGCCCUGCCCCGACCUCCUGGGCAGCGUGAGGAGGGUCAACCAGAAGCUCCGGGCUCUCAGCGUGGACCGCAGCCUCCUCGCCGACAUCAAGCUGAGCGGGGCCUACCAGGUGACCGAUCAAGACGUCCGCGAGAUCUUGGCGUGCGCGCGCCCGGACGUGCAGAGCCUCGACCUGGGCGGCUGCUACUGGCUGUCGGCGAAUGUGCUGGACGCGGUGUGCCGCUGCCGCUCACUGGUGCGGCUGGACGUGACGGGCUGCGCCCUCACCGCGACGCGCCUGGACCGCAUCCUCGGCGGCGCCCCGGCGCUCGCCUCGCUCGCCAUCGACGUGCGCCCGGGCUUCGACGCCACGCGGCUCGGAGCGGAGGCCCGCGCGGCGUUGGCGCGCAUCACCGAGCUGCGCCAGACCCUGCUGACGCCGUCGUACGGCGUGGUGCCGUGCUGCGUCGCCGUGCGCAGACUGCUGCUGCGCCUCGAGAUCCCCGACUGCGACGAGGUCGGGGGGGCGCUGCCCCCCGCGCAGCUCAUGGUGGGCCAGAGCAACGUGCCGUGCUACCGGCACCUGCGCGUGUUCGCCGUACGGCUGGCGCCCGGCUUCAGCAACCAGGAUGUGGCGCGCAUCUACCUCUCGUCGCUGCCGGCACGCCCGCCCAGCGGCAUCGAGACGUUUGUGCUGUCGGUGCCCUGCGGCUUCCCGGAGCUCACGCCGUGGAUGUCGGGCUUCCUGGCGGCGGUGGCCGAGAGCGACGACCUCGCGUCGUUGCAGCUGCCGCGCUCCUGGCUCGCCGAGGGCUCGGCGCUGCGCUCCGUCCGCCUGCGCCGGCCCCGCCACCUCAUCCUCCCGCGCUGCUCGCUGCGCAGCCUCGACCUGGCGCACAUGCUCGCCCUGCCGGCGCCAGGCCCCGCCCGCGGCGACGGCGACGAGGGAGCUCGCGCCGCCGACCGUAACGACGAGGGCCACGGCGACGACGACGACGACGGCGACGGCGACGCCGCCGCCAGCCCGGCCCGCUCGCUGGCGACGCUCAACCUGAGCGGUUUCGCGUUCGGCCGUUUCGGGGUCCAGCGCCCGGAGCAGGCCUCCGCGGCCUUCCUGGACGCGCUGGUGCGCGUGUGCCGCCGCGGCCUGCGCAGCCUCAACCUGGCCGGCGCCCACGUCCACCUGCCGCUGUCGCCGCCGGCGCCCGGGCAGCUGUGCCGGGCGCUGUCCCGCCUGCGCCGCCUGCGCUCGCUCGCGUUGCCGCUGUGCGCCGUGUCGUCGAGCUCCCCGGCGGGGCACGCGCCCGGCGGUGGGCGGGCGCCGGCUGUGUACGUGCGCCGGCGCGGCCCCAGUUCGCGACCCGGCGGGGACGUCGCGGGAUCGGCGGAACAACGGGCGGAACCGGUGAGGGCGGCGCCGGAGAUGCCGGCGCGCGGAUUUGACAAGAAGAUGCGGGUAAUGAGGACUGCGCCGCUGACGGCGGCGGAGGCACCGGCGGUUGUGUUGCUCGGCGUCGGCGGGGGCGCCCCCGCCGACGCCGGCCCGUUUGCUGGAUUGGUGUCGCGGCUGCCGCAGCUGCGCGAGUUGGAGCUGGUGUCGUCGAACUUCGUGUCGGCGCUGCCGCGGUUCGAGAUGGCCAACCAGCAAGUGCGGCACUGCGGGCACAGCACGGCGUUCGGGGACGCAGAGCUGGCGCUCAUCGGGCAGCUACCGAACCUCCGCCGGCUCACGGUGGCGCAGGCACCCGAGGUGGUGACGGGCACCGGGCUGGUGGCACUCGCUCGGGGCUGCCGGCACCUGCAGGAGCUGUCCCUGGCGAACAUCGGCAAACCUGCGCACGCCACGUACCUGCCAGCGCUGUGCCAGGCGCUGGCGCUGUGCCAGAAGCUGCACAGCUUCCGGCUAGAGCAGCCGUACGUGAGUGCGGGCGCCACGUUUUUCCGGGCGCUCCUGCGUUGCCCCGAGCUGCAGCGGCUGUGCGUGGUGUCGCGCGGGGGCGGACUGCCCGAGCCCGACGUCGCCCUCCACUUCGUCGCCGCCUCGCCCCACCUCGUCGUGUGCCACCUCUUCACGGGCGACACGCGCGUCACCUGCAAGGAGCUGCAGAAGGCCAUCAUGAGGAGCGUGUGCUCGUCGCGUCCAGCUCUCAGCGUCGCCGUCUUCCCGCUCAUGCACGACCUCCUGGGCGAGGUGAUCCGCUCGCUGCCGCUCUCGCACCUCGACGACUUCACCCUCUUCCGCUCGCACGUCGCUCAGGAGCCGCCCGGAUUGUGGCACUGACGAGAGCUGAAGGGGAGAACGUGACUGCCGAGCCGAGAUGUGAUUCGGCCAAAACCGGCGGCCCAGGGUGGAGCUGCGUGUCGAGGGAUCGGAGCGGUGCCGGGUAACGACACGGGCAACGGAGUUAUCUCCAUGAGCACGGCAACCAAGGGCAAGAGAAGACCAAAGACCGAGAGGGUGGGAGACUGUGAGGGCAGAUCUAUGGGUGUCUGUGCGAGCCUCUGAAUCUCAAUGCGAGGCUAUGGGUCUCUGUGCGAGGCUUAAUGGUUUCUGUGUGAGGCUACGAGUCACUUGUGAGUCAAUGGGUCACUAUGUGAGUCUGUGGGCCCAUGGGUUUGUGCGAGUUUACGAGUCUCAGUGUUGAGUCGCAACAGCAGACGCUGGGAUGCCUGUUAGGGCGGUUCUUGGAGGUCCGCUGCGUGUCCGACUGCAGGAUCUGGCAGAGGGUAGAGAGCUUUGGUAGCGAGGCGUGAUGGUGUUGUUUAAUUGGCUUUGGCCAUAAUGACGCCUCGAUCUCUGGUGGUUGGGGUGAAUUGGUUGAAUUGGUUCCCACGUACGGGGGGGGGGGGAGGGGAAGAGUGGAAUUGGAUGAGAGCGCCGUUGUUCACGGUGAUGUCAAUUGGUCUGGGUCAGUUUGACUCGGUCUGCUUCGGGCCUGGACAAGUACAACCAGGGUCAAGAAUAGUAACGGAGUUGCAACCGGUGAAUGGCAUGCGUCUGAGAGCACGUCCAUGGCGGAGACGGAGGUAUUAAAUCAGUUCACGUGCUGGGCGGGUUGUUACAUCGCAUUACCAUGAGAGGAGGGGGUUAGGCUUGGGGAGGCCCUCAUCCAGCCAUGGAUUCACCGUGGCUGAUUAUGAAAUGCGACCAAGCCAUGCACCUGAUCUUGUAAGAUCGCGGAAGCUAGGCAGGCUUUAGCCUGGUCAGUACUUGAAUGGGAGGCUCCUUGGUAAUACCAGAUGUUGCAAUGGGCUGCUAGGUGACCGUGGAAAUGUCAGUACAGCAGUGGAUUCUUAAAUUCAUCUGUGCAGAGCUUUGAGUCGGUGUGUGUAUGUGUGGAGUGAGGGGCGGGGGGUUAUCCUGGUAGUAGUCUCUCUCCACACGAAGCUACACUCUCAUUUAUGCAAUUGGCCAAACAUCCAUGUGUAGCAGGACCCUCCUGAGUACCUGGUGCGAGGUGUAAACAUCGCAACUCGGGAGACAAAGGCGGCCAGACAUCCCAACGCUGAACAAAUACAGUACAGGUAUACCUCGAUUUACGAACUCUUAAACGAAACUGAACGUUCGGUUUACGAAAAUUCACGUGAACACAAUUGACCAAUUGUGGACACUUUUCGACUAACGAAAAUCGAAUUUCCGCGUUUACAAAAUGUCACUACGGCACGUGCCAUGGGAUCAAACGAGAAGCACCCGGGGGGGCCGCGUCAUCCAUCCGCGACAGAGUCACAGUGUCCCAACAGGGCAGCAGCAACGCCUCCACAUCGCCUUGCCAGUCGCUGAAACGUGCAGUUCUUUCGGUGAGUUCCCCCGAUAAGGUGAAUUUGUUUUUGGUUUACAUUAGUUAUUAUUUAAUGGUUUUCAUAUUUAUGUUCUUUAUUAUUAUAGUUAUUUGUAUUGUGAAAAGUGAUAUAGUUGUGUAUUUUUAGGUCAGGAGUAGAGUUGGAAUGAAGUGUCCGAAACGCGUCCCUAAUUUAUAGUAUUAAAUGAAUGGGAAAAGCCAUUCCGAUGCACGAAAUUUCGUUUUACGUGUGUGUUUUUUGAAGAACGCAUCCCUUUCAUAAACCCAGUUAUACCUGUACCUGCAAAUUAUUCAAUUGGGAUCUCACACAGCAACAUGGCCCUCUACUGUGAAACCUUGUCAGGUCUCACCUGACAGUCUUGGGACUCAGCGAGGCCUUUCUGGUUAGAUAAAGGACAUGAACAAACAUCAUACACUGGGCCACAUCAACUUCCCCUCGGUUCUACUCAAUACGAGGCUUCGUUGCUAUUUUCCUCCCAGCUGGUUCAAGGCUUGUUCCCACUUCUCUGGGACCAUCCCGCAUUUUAAAUGAGCAUGGCCCAGCAGGAGUGCAUUUUCUGCUUGUUGCAGAGCUUCGCGGUUGGAGCCCAGCUGGACACCCGCCCUGGUUAAUACUGCUGCUUGUGUCAAAUCGCUCUUGCAGGCAAGGAUUGGUGGAUCACGCAGAUCGAGAUUCGCGAAACGCUCCAAAACCCGCGUUGCUGCGACGUGGCCCAGGCAGAUGCAGUCCAGCAAGUGGAUCAGUGAACCCAUCAGCACGGAGCUUUGUGAGCCUUCUCGCCUCGGGAGUGGAACUUCCACGCCUGGAUCUGCGGGGGUUGUCGGCAGGCUCGAUGGUCAUUGUGAGCAGGAAAUCACUUUGUGAGCAGGAAAUCACUUUGUGAGCAGCGCUCCACGCUUCUUUGCACACAGCUGCACGCAGUCCAAACACAAUAACAAACUCGACACAUUCGUCAACAGCAAUGUGGACCUCAAUGAAAGUUACAUCAUAGGCGACGUUUCGGGAAAUUGCUCUUAUUCAUAGAACUUGUCUACAACAUGCUUACAUGACGUGAACCCCUGCAGCCACUAGGGGCGCUACAACGCUCUGUAUUUGGGCUAUGUGCAUGAUGUCUAUGAUAAGAAAAUAACGCUACUUUUUUCAAAUUUUCUUGCUGUGGUUUUCACACCUGAUGAUGAUUGCUUGUGUUGCAGUCGAAACGUCGUGAGAAUUUUAUUGUUUUAUAUUUUUAUUAUUUUAUUGUUUCCCUUCUACGUGACUUUACAGAAAGAACCAAGAAUAUUAAUCCCUGCAGUCACGAAAGUUUUCAAUCAAAAGAUGUCCAUGAUAUUUACUCAAGAAAUGUGCAUCAGAUACUGCCAGUUGCAUCCAAUCGUUCAAAUUAAUAACAUCCUUAAUUCGCUGUCUUCCCCGGCUUCUUUUACUGUACCUAUAAUUGCCCCCAGUCAAAGCCACAUUUAUAUUGAGUCUCUUGCUUCUCGGUAUACGUGUCCAAUAAAUCUAACUUUCCUUUUGCGAAUUAUUAUAAAUGUUGUUGUUGUGUAAUCCUGUCCAUAGCACAUGUACGUCACUCAUUUUGUCUGUUCGUCAACUGUUUACCAUCCUAGUUUGCUCUGCGGGAUCUUGACAAUGCACGCACGACCAUCAAAUAAAACAAAAUCGAUUCCUCAAUCGGGAUUCGAGUAACAAAUG